UGUGUGCAAGGUUCAGCUGGUCCUCCUUAUUACUUAUAGGCCAUUGCAAAGGAAAGAUGUGAGUUAAAGUGUUGUGAAGCCAAAGAAAGGAGCUUGGAGAUGUGGAAAAUCCUCCACCAGCCAUAUAGAAAAAAGUGAAGAGGUUUGCUCAGAAAAGAACACUAAGGAUACAGCUGAACAACUCUUUGACUGUUUCGUAGGUGCAAACCACACCUUAGGAAACCACCCCCAGAGAGGAGUGGAUCUGAGAACUCGCUGUUGGCCAUGAGGGAGCAGUCUUCGACCUGAACAACCCCCAGCAAGCUGUUGACUCAUCUAGACCACAACAAAGCCAGGAUUUUGCAGCUUUAAAAAAAUUGAGAAUAUUCACACUCUUUUUGUUUGUUUGUUUAGCCUGUCAUUUCACUCUGCCUAAAUACAUAACUUAAAUUAUUUUUUCUAUAACUGA